rnacentral:rRNA from 1 species
AGCGAACGCUGGCGGCAGGCCUAACACAUGCAAGUCGAACGAACCUUUCGGGGUUAGUGGCGGACGGGUGAGUAACACGUGGGAACGUGCCUUUAGGUUCGGAAUAACUCAGGGAAACUUGUGCUAAUACCGAAUGUGCCCUUCGGGGGAAAGAUUAAUCGCCUUUAGAGCGGCCCGCGUCUGAUUAGCUAGUUGGUUGAGGUAAUGGCUCACCAAGGCGACUAUCAGUAGCUGGUCUGAGAGGAUGAUCAGCCACAUUGGGACUGAGACACGGCCCAAACUCCUACGGGAGGCAGCAGUGGGGAAUCUUGCGCAAUGGGCGAAAGCCUGACGCAGCCAUGCCGCGUGAAUGAUGAAGGUCUUAGGAUUGUAAAAUUCUUUCACCGGGGACGAUAAUGACGGUACCCGGAGAAGAAGCCCCGGCUAACUUCGUG